AGCAGUCGCCACGGUAAUACGUAGGGUGCAAGCGUUAAUCGGAAUUACUGGGCGUAAAGCGUGCGCAGGCGGUUUUGUAAGACAGAGGUGAAAUCCCCGGGCUCAACCUGGGAACUGCCUUUGUGACUGCAAGGCUAGAGUACGGCAGAGGGGGAUGGAAUUCCGCGUGUAGCAGUGAAAUGCGUAGAUAUGCGGAGGAACACCGAUGGCGAAGGCAAUCCCCUGGGCCUGUACUGACGCUCAUGCACGAAAGCGUGGGGAGCAAACAGGAUUAGAUACCCGGGUAGUCCCUGUCUCUUAUAC
rnacentral:rRNA from 1 species